GGGCAGGUUGCAGAGCGGUCAAAUGCUCCAGACUGUAAAUCUGGCGGCCUCCGGCCUUCGAAGGUUCGAAUCCUUCCCUGCCCA
rnacentral:tRNA from 1 species